UACGGAGGGUGCGAGCGUUGUCCGGAAUCACUGGGCGUAAAGGGCGCGUAGGCGGCGCGGUAAGCGGGCGGUGAAAGUCCGGGGCUCAACCCCGGAUCGGCCGUGCGGACUGCCGGGCUGGAGCACUGUAGAGGCGGGUGGAAUUCCGGGUGUAGCGGUGGAAUGCGUAGAGAUCCGGAAGAACACCGGUGGCGAAGGCGGCCCGCUGGGCAGUGGCUGACGCUGAGGCGCGACAGCGUGGGGAGCGAACAGG
rnacentral:rRNA from 1 species